rnacentral:lncRNA from 1 species
UUUUUUUUUGUUUUUUGGCUCUAGCCAUACCCCUGUUUGCUUCUCCUAUAUCAAUAUAAGGCAAAAGCUUUUUUGCCUGUUUUAAAAAUAAAUAAAAAUAAUACAUGUAAAACGAAGCAGACAUACCAUCCAUGAGUGGUUGAGGCUAUAGUUCUCUCCGGUAGUGGUGGGUGGAUGACUUGUUCUUGAUAAGUUCCCCAUUUGGUCCCUGUGUGCAAUGGCGGAGCUUAGUGCAUUGCUGGGGAGCCCCCUCCCCCAAAAGAAUGUGGUCAAGCUUUGCCACUGCGUGUGUAUUUGUUCGGCGUCUUUGGUUGCGUUUUGAAUUCGAUGAGAGUGGGCUUUGGUCUUGGUUGUGUCGUCGCUCGUUUUUUUAAUAAAAAUUUUCCUCGAAAAGGAGGACUGUCCCCGAUCUGUGCAUCAAAGCUAUGCAUGCAGCCAUUUAUUAGUAAAUAAACAUUCAACAAAGUUUGAAAGCAAAAGGCUCUCACAUAGCUAAAAAAUAAUCAUGAGAGGGAUAGCCACAACCGGCGGAAGAAAGAGAAAUAGGUAACGAAACACCUAUCCUAUUAUAUGACCGUCAUAGCCCGAACUACCAUCUCCCAACGGGUAGACCCAGUAAUCAAAUGCUCCUUGACAUCCUUCUGAGUGAAUAGCAACCACAUAUGGAUCAAAGCAGUGGCCCUGAAGAUAACCUGCAAAAGAAUGGAUAUGUGUUUUCCUGUUAAAAGCCAAAUCGUUCAUGCAGUUCCAUAUAGCCCAUAAUAAAGCACAUACUCCUACACGGAUAUAUUUCCAUGUCUCUGUCUCUACUUCAUUUAGCCACGUCCCAAAUAACGUGUAAAUGCUAUUUAGAGGAGAUAUAUUAAACGCCAUAUGUACUGAGUGCCAUAAAACUUUGGCCAUCGGACAAUCCAAACAGAGGUGUUUGAUAGAUUCAUCAUGGUCGCAGAAACUACAUCUCCGUGAUCCUUCCAAAUUGCGUUUUGCCAAGUUGUCCUUAGUCAGAAUCACUUCCUUGUGGACAAACCACAUGAAGACCUUCAUUCUUAAGGGCACUUUGACUUUCCAGAUAUGCAAAGAUCUUGGAAUGGAACCCGACUUAAUAAUGUCCAAAUACAUGGAAUUCACUGUGAAAACUCCAUUCGUGGUUUAACUAGGCAACGAUAUUCUUCUUAAUUAAUGGAAAAUACAAAGCUUGCCCCGGUUCAAAAAAAUAAUACAGAAAGCAUCACAAUUCCAAACAACAGCGACUCGUGCUCCCUGUAUAAGCGGGUCCUAGUCGUCAAGAAUCUAUGAACAUACGUACACAUUUCACAGAUACAAAGACAACGUAUGUGUCCACUCCACGAACAAUUAACCAUGUACAUCAACGUCAGUGCACCAAAGAACGAAAAACUACCAACGUUUCCCUUGAUGAGGAUCAUUUAAUUUUCUGACGCCGACUAAUCUCUCUGAAUCACCUAACGACCAAAAUGUACAAGGUUCUCUAUAGGAGGCAGCACACUGGCUCUAGGCAUUCUGCACCGUCAUGAUGGCGAGGGCCUCUCUUGCCUGCCCCAGGAUGUUGAACACCGUCGCGGCGAUGUGCGACGGCGUCAGCCCGGCUUCCACCAGCUGAUCGGCCGGUGAUCCAUGGUCGAUGUACUUGUCGGGAAGCACCACCGGCCGCCACU